AUUGAACGCUGGCGGCAGGCCUAACACAUGCAAGUCGAGCGGAUGAGAAGAGCUUGCUCUUCGAUUCAGCGGCGGACGGGUGAGUAAUGCCUAGGAAUCUGCCUGGUAGUGGGGGACAACGUUUCGAAAGGAGCGCUAAUACCGCAUACGUCCUACGGGAGAAAGCAGGGGACCUUCGGGCCUUGCGCUAUCAGAUGAGCCUAGGUCGGAUUAGCUAGUUGGUGAGGUAAUGGCUCACCAAGGCGACGAUCCGUAACUGGUCUGAGAGGAUGAUCAGUCACACUGGAACUGAGACACGGUCCAGACUCCUACGGGAGGCAGCAGUGGGGAAUAUUGGACAAUGGGCGAAAGCCUGAUCCAGCCAUGCCGCGUGUGUGAAGAAGGUCUUCGGAUUGUAAAGCACUUUAAGUUGGGAGGAAGGGCAGUAAGUUAAUACCUUGCUGUUUUGACGUUACCGACAGAAUAAGCACCGGCUAACUCUGUGCCAGCAGCCGCCGCCGUAA
rnacentral:rRNA from 1 species